rnacentral:rRNA from 1 species
GGCGUGNUUACACAUGCAAGUCGAACGAUGAUCCGGUGCUUGCGCCGGGGAUUAGUGGCGAACGGGUGAGUAACACGUGAGUAACCUGCCCUUGACUCUGGGAUAAGCCUGGGAAACUGGGUCUAAUACCGGAUAUGACUCCUCAUCGCAUGGUGGGGGGUGGAAAGCUUUUUGUGGUUUUGGAUGGACUCGCGGCCUAUCAGCUUGUUGGUGGGGUAAUGGCCUACCAAGGCGACGACGGGUAGCCGGCCUGAGAGGGUGACCGGCCACACUGGGACUGAGACACGGCCCAGACUCCUACGGGAGGCAGCAGUGGGGAAUAUUGCACAAUGGGCGAAAGCCUGAUGCAGCGACGCCGCGUGAGGGAUGACGGCCUUCGGGUUGUAAACCUCUUUCAGUAGGGAAGAAGCCCUCUUUGGGGGUGACGGUACUUGCAGAAGAAGCGCCGGCUAACUACGUGCCAGCAGCCGCGGUAAUACGUAGGGCGCAAGCGUUAUCCGGAAUUAUUGGGCGUAAAGAGCUCGUAGGCGGUUUGUCGCGUCUGCUGUGAAAGACCGGGGCUCAACUCCGGUUCUGCAGUGGGUACGGGCAGACUAGAGUGCAGUAGGGGAGACUGGAAUUCCUGGUGUAGCGGUGAAAUGCGCANAUAUCAGGAGGAACACCGAUGGCGAAGGCAGGUCUCUGGGCUGUAACUGACGCUGAGGAGCGCAAGCAUGUGGAGCGAACAGGAUUAUAUACCCCGGUAGUACCUGCCGUACACAUUGGGNACUACGUGUGGGGGAGAUUCUUCNCAUUCCGCCCCGUAGAUAACCAAUUAA